rnacentral:misc_RNA from 1 species
AAUGAUGCGGACUUGCGAACCACCACACUAGCCUCGAGCUUCGUUCAAGACGUCGACCAUUCGGUGCAACGCUUCAGCCGUUGUUUCACUGUCCUGCUGCACCAGGGCGACGCGGAUGUAUCCGGUGCCGGGGUUGCUGCCGUCGGCUUUCGGCCGGGCCAGAUAACUUCCGGGAAUGACGCGUACGCCNNNNNNNNNNCUUAAAAAGCUUCACUGUCGCGGCUUCGUCGCCGCCAUGCGCGGAGACAUCGAGCCAGAUG